rnacentral:rRNA from 1 species
GACGAACGCUGGCGGCGUGCCUAAUACAUGCCAGUUGAGCGCUGAAGGUUGGUACUUGUACCAACUGGAUGAGCAGCGAACGGGUGAGUAACGCGUGGGGAAUCUGCCUUUGAGCGGGGGACAACAUUUGGAAACGAAUGCUAAUACCGCAUAAAAACUUUAAACACAAGUUUUAAGUUUGAAAGAUGCAAUUGCAUCACUCAAAGAUGAUCCCGCGUUGUAUUAGCUAGUUGGUGAGGUAAAGGCUCACCAAGGCGAUGAUACAUAGCCGACCUGAGAGGGUGAUCGGCCACAUUGGGACUGAGACACGGCCCAAACUCCUACGGGAGGCAGCAGUAGGGAAUCUUCGGCAAUGGACGAAAGUCUGACCGAGCAACGCCGCGUGAGUGAAGAAGGGUUUCGGAUCGUAAAACUCUGUUGGUAGAGAAGAACGUUGGUGAGAGUGGAAAGCUCAUCAAGUGACGGUAACUACCCAGAAAGGGACGGCUAACCACGUG